rnacentral:lncRNA from 1 species
GGCUGGGUGGCCAUCAUUGACUUGAUGGAUGUGAGUCUGAGUGAACUCCGGGAGUUGGUGAUGGACAGGGAGGCCUGGUGUGCUGCGAUUCAUGGGGUCGCAAAGAGUCGGACACAACUGAGCGACUGAACUGAACUGAACUGGAGGCAAGCUUCAUAGGAGCAUUCCAAUGGCUCUUUCUUAGCUUUCUGGGACCGAGAGGCACCUGUGGAAGUGGCAGGAGGAGCUUUAUAGAGCUGAUUCCAGCUUCCUCAUCUCUGGAUCACUACUCUGUGGUGUGCUCUCUGGCUCAGCGUUUCUAAGUGGGAUCAGAAUUCCUGUGAGGAAAAAAAUCAAUGAAAAUAUUCAUAAUACAGAUGCCAUUCUUUCUGUUGGAACUGCAACCAUGGAAGUGAAAAAGUCUGUAUCAUGUGGGAAGUGACAAUAAUCAUGUUACCCAGAGGUGACUAUUAUAGAAGAGCCAUUAAAGGUAUGUUCAAAUUGUCCCAGGUGUAAAUGUAAAACUUUUCACUGUGC